AUGGAGAGACAGAUGAACAAGAUAUACACCAACAAGAUUUUUAACAAAUUCCGGGAAGAAAUAAAGCGUGUCAACAUGUAUACAACUUACCAGGUUGACGAACAUACGUUCAAGGUGUGUUCUCUCAUCGGCAUGUCCGAUUCAGAACCUGAAGAUCCGGACAAGGGAAGAAACUACUUGAAGACCUUGAUAAAUGAAGGUGAAUACUACUGCCAAUGCUGCAAAUUCGAAAGGGAGGGGAUUGUGUGCUGUCACAUACUCAAAAUAAUGGACAUGCAUGCGGUCACGCGAUUGCCCCGCCAUUUCAUACGACAAUGA
rnacentral:rRNA from 1 species